rnacentral:rRNA from 1 species
CAUGUCUUUUUGAAUUAUAAUUUAAAGUCUGAUCUGCUCAAUGAGGAGUUAAAUUGCCGCAGUAUUUUGACUGUGCAAAGGUAGCAUAAUAAUUAGCUUUUUAAUUGAAAGCUUGAAUGAAGGAUUGGACGAAAAAAUUACUGUCUCUUUUUAAUAAUUUUUGAAUUUUAUUUUUAAGUUAAAAGGCUUAAAUAAUAAUAAAAGACGAGAAGACCCUAUAGAGUUUUAUAUUUAUAGAUUAUUAAGUUUUAGAAAUAUACAUAUUAAUUCUUAAGUAUUUUGUUGGGGUGACUUAAAGACUAAAACAAUUCUUUAUUUUUAAAAUUGAUGAUAGUUAAAAAUUAGAUCUAAUUUUUUUAAGAUAAAUAAUAAUUACCUUAGGGAUAACAGCGUAAUUUUUUUUAAGAGUUCUUAUUUAAAGAAAAGUUUGCGACCUCGAUGUUGGAUUAAAAUUAAUUUUUGGUGCAGUAGCUUGAGAAUUGGGUCUGUUCGACCUUUAAAAUUUUACAUGAUCUGAGUUUAAACCGGCGUAAGCCAGGUUGGAUUCUAUCUUUAAUUAGAUUAUAUAUUUUAGUACGAAAGGACCAAAUUUAUAUUAAAUAUUAAUUG